GAUGAACGCUGGCGGCGUGCCUAAUACAUGCAAGUCGAGCGAACAGAUGAGGAGCUUGCUCCUCUGACGUUAGCGGCGGACGGGUGAGUAACACGUGGAUAACCUACCUAUAAGACUGGGAUAACUUCGGGAAACCGGAGCUAAUACCGGAUAAUAUAUUGAACCGCAUGGUUCAAUAGUGAAAGACGGUUUUGCUGUCACUUAUAGAUGGAUCCGCGCCGCAUUAGCUAGUUGGUAAGGUAACGGCUUACCAAGGCAACGAUGCGUAGCCGACCUGAGAGGGUGAUCGGCCACACUGGAACUGAGACACGGUCCAGACUCCUACGGGAGGCAGCAGUAGGGAAUCUUCCGCAAUGGGCGAAAGCUUGACGGAGCAACGCCGCGUGAGUGAUGAAGGUCUUCGGAUCGUAAACUCUGUUAUUAGGGAAGAACAAAUGUGUAAGUAACUAUGCACGUCUUGACGGUACCUAAUCAGAAAGCCACGGCUAACUACGUG
rnacentral:rRNA from 1 species